rnacentral:lncRNA from 12 species
UAUUCGCGUUGUGCACAAUUUUCUAUCAGCGCCACUUUUAACGGUAAAACUGAGAACAGUUGGUUUGCUAAAACAUAUUGGCUUAUAUGGAGAGUUAUAUAAAAUAAUUUGUUCCGAGGGCGGCCACCAAUUUAUGUAGAAUACGCGUAAAAUACCUCAACGCACAGAGCGAAUAAGUAACCUGUUGUCGUGUAGCUGUACCCGGUCAGGGAGUACGAGUGCUAUCCCUCUGUACGCAUCGCCUAUUGAUGUCUGCAUCGUGCAAUAGGCGUAGGACCCAUCGAUAGCAGACCGGCGUUAGUGGGAAACCAUAGAGCAACUUAGAUUAACCAUACAUUAAUUAGCCACGAGUAAUCGUGUAGAAUUGAGACCAAUCAGCAUCUGACGUGCCACGAAAGAGCCUCCAGUAUCCAGGUCACAAUAGAGAGCAAAUAUAUAAAUAUAUUGUAAGUUGAGUUCAAUUAUAUAAAAGCGUCAAACGUAAUUACAAAUAAACCACCGCACAACGCAAUAACAACAAUACUAUAAUAACCAAAAUAUACGAAACUGUAACAUUUGCUGAGUUCUGGGUUGUCUCCAAUAAAACAAAAAUAAUAAGAAUUAA